rnacentral:rRNA from 1 species
CGUGUAGGCGGCUGGAUAAGUCAGAUGUGAAAGCCCUGGGCUUAACCCAGGAAGUGCAUUUGAAACUGUUCAGCUUGAGUAGGGGAGAGGAAAGUGGAAUUCCUGGUGUAGAGGUGAAAUUCGUAGAUACUCAGGAGGAACACCGGUGGCGAAGGCGACUUUCUGGCCCUAUACUGACGCUGAGACGCGAGAGCGUGGGUAGCAAACA